UACGUAGGGUGCGAGCGUUGUCCGGAAUUACUGGGCGUAAAGGGCGCGUAGGCGGCCGCCUAAGUCAGACGUGAAAUCCCUCGGCUCAACCGGGGAACUGCGUCUGAUACUGGGUGGCUUGAAUCCGGGAGAGGGAUGCGGAAUUCCAGGUGUAGCGGUGAAAUGCGUAGAUAUCUGGAGGAACACCGGUGGCGAAGGCGGCAUCCUGGACCGGCAUUGACGCUGAGGCGCGAAAGCCAGGGGAGCAAACGGG
rnacentral:rRNA from 1 species